rnacentral:rRNA from 1 species
GAUGAACGCUGACAGAAUGCUUAACUCAUGCAAGUCCACUUGAAUUUGGGUUUUUAACUUAGGUUUGGGUGGCGGACGGGUGAGUAACGCGUAAAGAACUUGCCUCACAGCUAGGGACAACAUUUGGAAACGAAUGCUAAUACCUAAUAUUAUGAUAAUAGGGCAUCCUAUAAUUAUGAAAGCUAUAAGCGCUGUGAAAGAGCUUUGCGUCCCAUUAGCUAGUUGGAGAGGUAACGGCUCACCAAGGCGAUGAUGGGUAGCCGGCCUGAGAGGGUGAUCGGCCACAAGGGGACUGAGACACGGCCCUUACUCCUACGGGAGGCAGCAGUGGGGAAUAUUGGACAAUGGACCGAGAGUCUGAUCCAGCAAUUCUGUGUGCACGAUGAAGUUUUUCGGAAUGUAAAGUGCUUUCAGUUGGGAAGAAACAAAUGACGGUACCAACAGAAGAAGUGACGGCUAAAUACGUG